CAUUGAAAUACCGGUUCUUGUACAAUCACCAAAGUUAAUCUUCAUUAAGCUUGGUCAGUACCUAGAUAGGUGGCCACUUGGGAAUACCAGGUGCUGUAAG